GGGCAUAUGGUGUGGCUGGUCAUCACAUCCGUUUAGCAUGUGGGGGGCCUCCGGUUCGAGUCCGGAUUUAUCUA